rnacentral:rRNA from 1 species
ACUCCUACGGGAGGCAGCAGUGGGGAAUAUUGCACAAUGGGGGAAACCCUGAUGCAGCCAUGCCGCGUGUGUGAAGAAGGCCUUCGGGUUGUAAAGCACUUUCAGUAGGGAGGAAGGUAGUGUAGUUAACACCUGCAUUAUUUGUACGUUACCUACAGAAGAAGCACCGGCUAACUCCGUGCCAGCAGCCGCGGUAAUACGGAGGGUGCGAGCGUUAAUCGGAAUUACUGGGCGUAAAGCGCAUGCAGGCGGCCUGUUAAGUCAGAUGUGAAAGCCCGGGGCUUAACCUCGGAAUUGCAUUUGAAACUGGCAGGCUAGAGUCUUGUAGAGGGGUUAGAAUUUCAGGUGUAGCGGUGAAAUGCGUAGAGAUCUGAAGGAAUACCAGUGGCGAAC